UACGUAGGGUGCAAGCGUUAAUCGGAAUUACUGGGCGUAAAGCGUGCGCAGGCGGUUCGCUGUGUCCGAUGUGAAAGCCCCGGGCUUAACCUGGGAAUGGCAUUGGAAACUGGCGGGCUUGAGUGUGGCAGAGGGGGGUGGAAUUCCGCGUGUAGCAGUGAAAUGCGUAGAGAUGCGGAGGAACACCGAUGGCGAAGGCAGCCCCCUGGGCUAACACUGACGCUCAGGCACGAAAGCGUGGGGAGCAAACAGG
rnacentral:rRNA from 1 species